UACGUAGGGCGCAAGCGUUGUCCGGAAUUAUUGGGCGUAAAGAGCUCGUAGGCGGUUUGUCGCGUCUGCUGUGAAAACUCGAGGCUCAACCUCGGGCUUGCAGUGGGUACGGGCAGACUAGAGUGCGGUAGGGGUGACUGGAAUUCCUGGUGUAGCGGCGGAAUGCGCAGAUAUCAGGAGGAACACCGAUGGCGAAGGCAGGUCACUGGGCCGCAACUGACGCUGAGGAGCGAAAGCAUGGGGAGCGAACAGG
rnacentral:rRNA from 1 species